GAUGAACGCUGGCGGCGUGCCUAAUACAUGCAAGUCGAGCGAACAGACGAGGAGCUUGCUCCUCUGACGUUAGCGGCGGACGGGUGAGUAACACGUGGAUAACCUACCUAUAAGACUGGGAUAACUUCGGGAAACCGGAGCUAAUACCGGAUAAUAUAUUGAACCGCAUGGUUCAAUAGUGAAAGACGGUAUUGCUGUCACUUAUAGAUGGCUACGCGCCGCAUUAGCUAGUUGGUAAGGUAACGGCUUACCAAGGCAACGAUGCGUAGCCGACCCCAGGGGGUGAUCGGCCAGACUGGAACUGAGACACAGUCCAGACUCCUGCGGGAGGCAGCAGUAGGGAAUCUUACGCAAUGGGCGAAAGCCUGACGUAGCAACGCCGCGUGAGUGAUGAAGGUCUUCGGAUCGUAAAGCUCUGUUAUUAGGGAAGAACAAAUGUGUAAGUAACUAUGCACGUCUUGACGGUACCUAAUCAGAAAGCCACGGCUAACUACGUG
rnacentral:rRNA from 1 species